rnacentral:rRNA from 1 species
UACGGGGGGGGCAAGCGUUGUUCGGAAUUACUGGGCGUAAAGGGUUCGUAGGCGGCCAACUAAGUCGGAUGUGAAAUCCCCAGGCUCAACUUGGGAACUGCAUCCGAUACUGGAUGGCUUGAAUUCGGGAGAGGGAUGCAGAAUUCCAGGUGUAGCGGUGAAAUGCGUAGAUAUCUGGAGGAAUACCGGUGGCGAAGGCGGCAUCCUGGACCGACAUUGACGCUGAGGAGCGAAAGCUAGGGGAGCAAACGGG